UACGUAGGGGGCAAGCGUUGUCCGGAAUCAUUGGGCGUAAAGCGCGUGUAGGCGGCCUUGUAAGUCCGUUCUGAAAGCCCGGGGCUCAACCCCGGGAGGCGGAUGGAUACUGCAAGGCUCGAGUACGGAAGAGGCGAGUGGAAUUCCUGGUGUAGCGGUGAAAUGCGCAGAUAUCAGGAAGAACACCCGUGGCGAAGGCGGCUCUCUGGAACGCAACUGACGCUGAGACGCGAAAGCGUGGGGAGCAAACAGG
rnacentral:rRNA from 1 species